rnacentral:rRNA from 1 species
AUUGAACGCUGGCGGCAUGCUUUACACAUGCAAGUCGAACGGUAACAGGGAGCUUGCUCCGCUGACGAGUGGCGAACGGGUGAGUAAUGCGUCGGAACGUGCCGAGUAGUGGGGGAUAACGCAUCGAAGGGUGUGCUAAUACCGCAUACGUACUGAGGUAGAAAGUGGGGGACCUUCGGGCCUCACGCUAUUCGAGCGGCCGACGUCUGAUUAGCUAGUUGGUGAGGUAAAGGCUCACCAAGGCGACGAUCAGUAGCGGGUCUGAGAGGAUGAUCCGCCACACGGGGACUGAGACACGGCCCAGACUCCUACGGGAGGCAGCAGUGGGGAAUUUUGGACAAUGGGCGCAAGCCUGAUCCAGCCAUGCCGCGUGUCUGAAGAAGGCCUUCGGGUUGUAAAGGACUUUUGUCCGGGAGCAAAUGCCUGGUGUUAAUAGCAUCGGGAGCUGAGAGUACCGGAAGAAUAAGCACCGGCUAACUACGUGCCAGCCGCCGCCGUAAAAC